ensembl:lncRNA
CCCAUGUUGGCACGGCGCUGCCCUCCUUCCCCAUUCCCCCGUCCCUCUCUCUCUCUGUCUCGCCCCCUCCGUUCGCCUCCCCGCCCGUUCCUUCCCCGCUCUCGCUCUCCCCGUCCUUGAGCGCGGGUCACGGCGGCGGCCCGGCCCUCCCCUUCCUGCCGCCCCUCCUCUUCCUGCGGGUCCGUUACCGGCCCGGUGCCGCGGCUGCCGGCGGCUCCAGGUUUAUGUCCCCGCCUGGCACCAGCGAAGGAGGUUGGCCACUGCAGGGAUAGAAGGGCUAACCUAG